GUGUGGGCCUUAAGACGUACAACAGGGCCACCCUCCACCACAGGGUCUGAAGGAGGAACUGUAAAGCAGAACAAACAUACCACUCAAAACAAAAAAACUCAUUACAGCUCCAGGCCAGCACAGAGCCAGAAAGCAGUCAUACUGAUAUUGAGUUUACUAUUGUUCUUAGCUCAGCCAGCAUCAAUAUAUCGCUACAGCAAAAGAAGCAAACAAUAUCUCCUUAUGGCCAUGUGUCUGUUUAACAAGGUGUAGUUUCAGACAGGAGAAAACACCACGAGCAGUUGUCCAUUGAAAAAAAGAAAUAUAAAAACAGACUCAACCUUAUUUAUUUCCUUAUUUCUUGGGACUAGCAUUAUUACUCUAUUUGCUCUUACUGUUGCAGAGUGAUGUUUCAACUGAAUUGCUUAUUUGUUCAUUUAUUUGCAUGGUUUCGCACGCACCACUGGCAAGCCAAGCGUGCCACCCCUGAUGAAGGCGUCUAUCUCCCCAACCAAUAAGAGAAGGCGUAAACAUGAGGUGUGCAUCGUUAUGGCUGUAUGUGGGCAUGUGAAGACCGCACUGCUUUGUGCUGUUCUGUGCAGCUUUGACAGCGACACGCUGGAAGGUGGGCUGAUGAACACAGUCUGUACGCUGAUGAUACAGCCUGAAGUGCUGUAACUGGGGAAGAAGAAGACUCCAGGCAAUGGCAGGAAGCUGACACGGCCCCUCCAUUGUCCUAUUCCCUGUCAUUUCCUCCCGGAUCCUCCGACUGCCCCAGAGGAAGACAAGGUGAGGAUGUGCAGAGACAGACACAAGGAGAACGCAAAGACAAAAAGAG